UUAGAGUUUGAUCCUGGCUCAGGAUGAACGCUAGCGGGAGGCUUAACACAUGCAAGUCGAGGGGCAGCACGAUGUAGCAAUACGUUGGUGGCGACCGGCGCACGGGUGAGUAACACGUAUGCAACCUACCCUGUACAGGGGGAUAACCCGGAGAAAUUCGGACUAAUACCGCAUAAUGAUAUUUGAGGGCAUCCUUAGAUAUUUAAAGCUUCGGUGGUACGGGAUGGGCAUGCGGAACAUUAGCUAGUUGGCAGGGUAAUGGCCUACCAAGGCAAUGAUGUUUAGGGGACCUGAGAGGGUGAUCCCCCACACUGGUACUGAGACACGGACCAGACUCCUACGGGAGGCAGCAGUGAGGAAUAUUGGUCAAUGGGCGGAAGCCUGAACCAGCCAUCCCGCGUGCAGGAAGACGGCCCUAUGGGUUGUAAACUGCUUUUCCAGGGGGCGAAACUUUCCGAUGUAUCGGGGUUUGACGGUACCCUGGGAAUAAGCAUCGGCUAACUCCGUGCCAGCAGCCGCGGUAAUACGGAGGAUGCGAGCGUUAUCCGGAUUUAUUGGGUUUAAAGGGUGUGUAGGCGGAUCGAUAAGUCAGUGGUGAAACCCUGCAGCUUAACUGUAGACUUGCCGUUGAUACUGUUGGUCUUGAGUGUGGUCAAGGUAGGCGGAAUGUGUAAUGUAGCGGUGAAAUGCUUAGAUAUUACACAGAACACCGAUUGCGAAGGCAGCUUACUGGGCCAUUACUGACGCUGAUGCACGAAAGCGUGGGGAUCGAACAGGAUUAGAUACUCUGGUAGUCCCAGCCCUAAACGA
rnacentral:rRNA from 1 species